GGACAUGAUAGAUUUAUGCUGAGAAGAGAG
rnacentral:piRNA from 1 species